UGGGAAUCUUGCGCAAUGGGCGAAAGCCUGACGCAGCGACGCCGCGUGCGGGAAGAAGGCCUUCGGGUUGUAAACCGCUUUCAGGAGGGACGAAGCCACUCGGGUUAAUAGCCUAGAGGGUGACGGUACCUCCAGAAGAAGCCCCGGCUAACUACGUGCCAGCAGCCGCGGUAAUACGUAGGGGGCUAGCGUUGUCCGGAUUUAUUGGGCGUAAAGAGCGCGUAGGCGGCUAGGUAAGUCCGACGUGAAAUCUGGAGGCUCAACCUCCAGCGGUCGUUGGAAACUACUUGGCUAGAGUCCGGAAGAGGAGAGUGGAAUUCCUGGUGUAGCGGUGAAAUGCGCAGAUAUCAGGAAGAACACCGAUGGCGAAAGCAGCUCUCUGGGACGGUACUGACGCUGAGGCGCGAAAGCGUGGGGAGCGAACAGGAUUAGGAUACCCUGGUAGUCCACGCCGUAAACGAUGGGUGCUAGGUGUGAGCGGUGUCGACUCCGCUCGUGCCGAAG
rnacentral:rRNA from 1 species